UAUGUUUUAAAAGGUAGAGACAAUACUAAGCAGAAAUAAACUGUUAUGAAAUGAUACAAUUCAAAUCAUAAUUUUAAAAAUACUUUUUACCUGUCUAGCAGAAACCUGAGGUAUUCAGAACAAUCUUGCUGUGACCUGGGAGUAAACCAUGGAGGUCUGGAAGCCUCAAAGAAUAUCCGAGUUUCAGAUUUUCCAGAAAGUCUAGACAAGCAAGAUGCCAAAGAAUUGGAUUGAGAAGUCCAGGCACUUUGAUUGAGAAUCAACUUAAUCUUCUCUUCACUGGGCUUAGGGAAAUCCUAUAGAUAAUAAAGAGGAAAAACUGUUUAAAAGCUAAGAGAAAGUGCUCU